rnacentral:lncRNA from 1 species
CGGGAGUCCGGAAUGACCUUGAAAGUUAAAAGAAAAAAACUUAAAAUAAAAAAGAGGAGGAGAGGGAAAAAAGAAUGGUAGAUGUCCCUCUGCCUCCCUCAUCAGAAUGGGAGCUCCCUAGUGACAAGGAUGUUACUCUCUCAUCAGUGCAGGAGUUCCCUCAGAACCCAGUACAGAAUGAACGUGGGAAAUAAUGAGAAGAGGAACUUACUGAAAGCUGUUACUGAGAACUCACUUGCUGAAGCAGGUGCCUCUGGGAAGUGCUUGGAGAUCACAGCUUCCCUGAUCCCGACCUUAAUCCCCUGCUCAGCAUCCUGUCAGCUGGGCUGUUCUCAAGCUGACAUUGCUGCAGGCGCCUUCUCCGAAGCUUUCCCUCAGAUCUGCCUCCUCGGGGGACGUCUAAAGAGGAGCCUGAGAUUUCUCUGUUACAGGCUGGUUCACUCCGUGCCCUCAAGCGAAGCCAGAGU